CCUACGGGAGGCAGCAGUGAGGAAUAUUGGUCAAUGGGCUUACGCCUGAACCAGCCAAGUCGCGUGAGGGAAGACUGCCCUAUGGGUUGUAAACCUCUUUUGUCAGGGAGCAACGCCGGCUACGUGUAGCCGGACUGAGAGUACCUGAAGAAAAAGCAUCGGCUAAAUCCGUGCCAGCAGCCGCGGUAAUACGGAGGAUGCGAGCGUUAUCCGGAUUGAUUGGGUUUAAAGGGUGCGUAGGCGGAAUGCCAAGUCAGCGGUAAAAUCGCGGGGCUCAACCUCGCUCCGCCGUUGAAAAUGGCGUUCUUGAGUGGGCGAGAAGUAUGCGGAAUGCGUGGUGUAGCGGUGAAAUGCAUAGAUAUCACGCAGAACUCCGAUUGCGAAGGCAGCAUACCGGCGCCCAACUGACGCUGAAGCACGAAAGCGUGGGUAUCGAACAGGAUUAGAUACCCGAGUAGUC
rnacentral:rRNA from 1 species